rnacentral:misc_RNA from 1 species
ACUACAUCACUUUAUGAACCUUCGUGGCCCAACGUAAUUACUACACCGACUAAAAAAUUUAACACGAUGCUGAUUUUAACGUUCUCUGUUUAUAAAUGACGGCUACUUGCGAUGAACUAUUUACAGAUUAUUCGUAAUCAAAAUAAAAUUCUCGUCAUCGUUAUGACGUGUGGCACUAAUAAGUUAAACUUAAAAGUUAGAAAAUUCUGCUCUGGAGUCGGAAAUUUUGCAUUCAUUUAUUUUACCAUUGACACGAUUGAACAUAAUUAAAUAUCACUUAUGUACAAUUCAAAC